GACGAACGCUGGCGGCGUGCUUAACACAUGCAAGUCGAACGAUGAAGCCUUUCGGGUGGAUUAGUGGCGAACGGGUGAGUAACACGUGGGCAAUCUGCCCUGUACUUUGGGAUAAGCCUUGGAAACGGGGUCUAAUACCGGAUAUCACUUACCUCCGCAUGGGGGUUGUUGAAAGUUCUGGCGGUACAGAUGAGCCCGCGGCCUAUCAGCUUGUUGGUGGGGUAGUGGCCUACCAAGGCGACGACGGUAG
rnacentral:rRNA from 1 species